ACGCUCGACACCUACGGGAGGCAGCAGUGGGGAAUAUUGCACAAUGGGGGAAACCCUGAUGCAGCGACGCCGCGUGGAGGAAGAAGGUCUUCGGAUUGUAAACUCCUGUUGUUGGGGAAAAAAGGNUGGUACCCAACAAGGAAGUGACGGCUAACUACGUGCCAACAGCCGCGGUAAUCUGAGCGGGCUGGCAAGGC
rnacentral:rRNA from 1 species